UACGGGGGGGGCAAGCGUGGUUCGGAAUUACUGGGCGUAAAGGGCUCGUAGGCGGCCAACUAAGUCAGACGUGAAAUCCCUCGGCUUAACCGGGGAACUGCAUCUGAUACUGGAUGGCUUGAGUUCGGGAGAGGGAUGCGGAAUUCCAGGUGUAGCGGUGAAAUGCGUAGAUAUCUGGAGGAACACCGGUGGCGAAGGCGGCAUCCUGGACCGGCAUUGACGCUGAGGCGCGAAAGCCAGGGGAGCAAACGGG
rnacentral:rRNA from 1 species